rnacentral:rRNA from 1 species
CAGCAGCCGCGGGAAUACGUAGGGUGCGAGCGUUAAUCGGAAUUACUGGGCGUAAAGCGUGCGCAGGCGGUUGUGUAAGACAGGUGUGAAAUCCCCGGGCUUAACCUGGGAACUGCGCUUGUGACUGCACAGCUAGAGUAUGGCAGAGGGGGGUGGAAUUCCACGUGUAGCAGUGAAAUGCGUAGAGAUGUGGAGGAACACCGGUGGCGAAGGCAGCCCCCUGGGCCUGCACUGACGCUCAUGCACGAAAGCGUGGGGAGCAAACAGGAUUAGAUACCCGGGUAGUCCCUGUCCUUAUACA